GAGAUACUACCCUUUACACACCGAUGUCUUCUUCCCGGAAACGCGUUACAUCUCCAACAGCAACAGGGAUUGCUCCGGUAUUCGGAAUUUUGUAAAACCUGCACAAGUCAACCAUAACAUGAACGACCAGCAGCUUUUCUGGAGAGGGUCGAUGGUGCCUACGAUCAAAGAUUACCCAUUCAGGAGGGUCCCCAAAGUCGCCUUCAUGUUCAUGACAAGAGGUUCGAUUCCUCUCCAACCGUUAUGGGAUAAGUUCUUCGACGGCCAUGAGAAGUACUUCUCCGUCUACGUUCA
rnacentral:lncRNA from 1 species